rnacentral:rRNA from 1 species
CCAAUAGCGUAUAUUAAAGUUGUUGCAGUUAAAAAGCUCGUAGUUGAAUUUCGGGAUUGACACAUCGGUCGUGCCUUAAGGGGUAUGAACUGGUGUAGUCAAUUUCUCACCUUCUGGAGAACCGCGAUGCCCUUAAUUGGGUGUCGCGGGGAACCAGGACCUUUACUUUGAAAAAAUUAGGGUGUUUAAAGCAGGCAUUUUGCUUGAAUACAUUAGCAUGGAAUAAUAAAAUAGGACGGCAUGAUUCUAUUUUGUUGGUUUCUAGGAUCACCGUAAUGAUUAAUAGGGAUAGUUGGGGGCAUUAGUAUUCAAUUGUCAGAGGUGAAAUUCUUGGAUUUAUUGAAGACUAACUACUGCGAAAGCAUUUGCCAAGGACGUUUUCAUUAAUCAAGAACGAAAGUUAGGGGAUCGAAGACGAUCAGAUACCGUCGUAGUCUUAACCAUAAACUAUGCCGACUAGGAAUCAGACGAUGUUAAUUUUUUAAUGACUCGUUUGGCACCUUAC